UACGGGGGGGGCAAGCGUUGUUCGGAAUUACUGGGCGUAAAGGGCUCGUAGGCGGCCAACUAAGUCAGACGUGAAAUCCCUCGGCUUAACCGGGGAACUGCGUCUGAUACUGGAUGGCUUGAAUUCGGGAGAGGGAUGCGGAAUUCCAGGUGUAGCGGUGAAAUGCGUAGAUAUCAAGAGGAACACCUGAGGUGAAGACGGGUUGCUGGGCUGACACUGACGCUGAGGCGCGAAAGCUAGGGUAGCAAACGGG
rnacentral:rRNA from 1 species